rnacentral:rRNA from 1 species
GACGAACGCUGGCGGCGUGCUUAACACAUGCAAGUCGAACGGAAAGGCCCUGCUUUUGUGGGGUGCUCGAGUGGCGAACGGGUGAGUAACACGUGAGUAACCUGCCCUUGACUUUGGGAUAACUUCAGGAAACUGGGGCUAAUACCGGAUAGGAGCUCCUGCUGCAUGGUGGGGGUUGGAAAGUUUCGGCGGUUGGGGAUGGACUCGCGGCUUAUCAGCUUGUUGGUGGGGUAGUGGCUUACCAAGGCUUUGACGGGUAGCCGGGCUGCGAGGGUGACCGGCCACACUAGGACGGAGAUAAGGCCCAGACUAGUACGGUAGGCAGGGGAGGAGAGGAGAGUACUAGAGGCGGGGGCAAGGUGCAGCAAAGCCGCGUGGGGGAUGACGGCAAGGGGUUAGUGAACCGCAGCCGCCUGUGACGGGACGUGAAUGACAGUAAUGGGUGAAGAAGCACCGGCUAACUACGUG